AAGGGAUUGACAAAGGGAUUGCUUUUGAAUUGACCCCUGGUACUGAACUUGCAACUUUGUUAUGCAAAAAAUAUGUAAAACCGACACGUGAAUUUGGAAGAUGUUCUCCGCAUUAUCAACGACCGGGAAGUCACCAUUAUAGAUCUUGCAUGAAGCCAUGAAGGCUGUUCCGGUUCACGUAUUAUACCCGAAACGAGAACCCCUCUCAUAGGAAGACGCUUCUGAUGAUUACGACAAUUUUCGUAAUCCUAAAUUCGCGUAGUACCGUUUAAAAAAAUUUGGGGGAUUAUUAGGUGAAUUUUAAAAUUGCUCUUUGUUUUUAAUUUCGCUUCAUUUGAACGAAAGAAUAACCUUAUUUAUGAUAUACCGUACGUCCGAAGAGUAUUGCUGUUCAGGCCUUUCCAUUUUAUCGACAUGCGCAAAAAAGUUAUUCAGAGUUGAAAUUAUGUCGUAAAAAUCUAUGAAUUACAUAUUGCGCUAAAUAUGUAGUCAUAGUAAAAUUCUUUAGGUGAAAAGCUCGAACGACGCAUCCGCACGAUCCAGGCAACUUGAAUUUCAGAACUUGAAUUCCAUCAGCCUGUUCUUGCCACAUUCCCAAUCCGCUGCAUUCAAUUAUUAAUCUUUUUCGACUAAGAAUUUGCUGUCCUGCUAUCAAUAUUUAACAUGCGUCGCCCAUUAUUUAAAUUUUACUGAAGAUUGACUACUUACUUUCUUCUUUUGGUCUAAAUUAAGUAGAAAUGAAGAAAAAUUGGUUUCAUAAUUGAAUUACGAAUUUGUAUUCAUCAGACUUGACACUGUUUUAAUUCAUCACUUGCGAACACUUUGCUGAACAGUUGCUGGACUUGUUGGUUUUCGAUCGAAAAAUGUCAACCGUCAUAUCUCGUAGUUACUGAUUGCGGCCAUGGACACGGAGGGGCCAAAUUUUCAUUACCAUGAAAAUAUGGCAUCAUGUAUGCAAUCGGCAUUGACUUUAAUUCCUUCUGGUCCAUUUCAACUUUCUUUGGGUUUCCUGAUCCAGUCGGAUUUUGAUAAAAAUCAUUUAUUUCAACCUGAAUUUCACUUAGUUGUGUUUGAAAUUCAAGAGUUGCCAUCUCGCACGCCUCGAUUCGCUUUUCCAGUUGCUCGAGACGACCCAUCAUAUUCGGAAACAAGUCAGGGAUUGAUGGUAUUAUACUGGGCGGAGAUGCAUAGUGAAAAGCUUGAUGACUUGGAGAAGGAGCAGGGGAUUGUAGACGUGGGUGGU